rnacentral:rRNA from 1 species
AUUGAACGCUGGCGGCAUGCCUUACACAUGCAAGUCGAACGGCAGCGCGGGAGCAAUCCUGGCGGCGAGUGGCGAACGGGUGAGUAAUAUAUCGGAACGUGCCCAUUAGUGGGGGAUAGCCCGGCGAAAGCCGGAUUAAUACCGCAUACGACCUGAGGGUGAAAGCGGGGGAUCGCAAGACCUCGCGCUAUUGGAGCGGCCGAUAUCAGAUUAGCUAGUUGGUGGGGUAAAGGCCUACCAAGGCAACGAUCUGUAGUUGGUCUGAGAGGACGACCCGCCCCACUGGGACAGAGACCGGGCCCAGAAUCCUACGGGAGGAAGCAGGGGGGAAAUUUGGACAAGGAGCGCAAGCCUGGUCGAGCAAUGCCGCGUGCAGGAAGAGGGCCUUCGGGUUGUAAACUGCUUUUGUCAGGGAAGAAAUCCUUAGGGCUGAUACCUCGGAGGGAUGACGGUACCUGAAGGAUAAGCACCGGCUAACUACGUGCCAGCAGCCGCCGUAA